CAGCAGCCGCGGGAAUACGAAGGGGGCUAGCGUUGCUCGGAAUUACUGGGCGUAAAGGGAGCGUAGGCGGAUCGUUUAGUCAGGGGUGAAAUCCCGGGGCUCAACCUCGGAACUGCCUUUGAUACUGGCGAUCUUGAGUAUGGGAGAGGUGUGUGGAACUCCGAGUGUAGAGGUGAAAUUCGUAGAUAUUCGGAAGAACACCAGUGGCGAAGGCGACACACUGGCCCAUUACUGACGCUGAGGCUCGAAAGCGUGGGGAGCAAACAGGAUUAGAUACCCCAGUAGUCCCUGUCUCUUAUAU
rnacentral:rRNA from 1 species